rnacentral:rRNA from 1 species
UACGAAGGGGGCUAGCGUUGCUCGGAAUGACUGGGCGUAAAGGGCGCGUAGGCGGAUGGCACAGUCAGAUGUGAAAUUCCCGGGCUUAACCUGGGGGCUGCAUUUGAUACGUGUGAUCUAGAGUGAGGAAGAGGGUCGUGGAAUUCCCAGUGUAGAGGUGAAAUUCGUAGAUAUUGGGAAGAACACCGGUGGCGAAGGCGGCGGCCUGGUCCUUGACUGACGCUGAGGCGCGAAAGCGUGGGGAGCAAACAGG